rnacentral:pre_miRNA from 1 species
UUUGUACUCCCUCCGUCCCAAAAUUCUUGUCUUAAAUUUGUCUAAAUACGGAUGUAUCUAGUUACAUUUUAGUGUUAGAUACAUUCGUAUCUAAACAAAUGUAAGACAAAAAAUUUGGGAUAGAGGGAGUACUAC